rnacentral:rRNA from 1 species
UACAGAGGGGGGCAAGCGUUGUUCGGAAUUACUGGGCGUAAAGGGCGCGUAGGCGGCCUGCUAAGUCGAACGUGAAAUCCCUGGGCUCAACCCAGGAACUGCGUCCGAUACUGGUUGGCUUGAAUCCGGGAGAGGGAUGUGGAAUUCCAGGUGUAGCGGUGAAAUGCGUAGAUAUCUGGAGGAACACCGGUGGCGAAGGCGACAUCCUGGACCGGUAGUUGUACGCUGAGGCGCGAAAGCCAGGGGGAGCAAACGGG